AUGGAGGAGCCCGGGUCCAGCCCCGACGACGCCGUGCUGUUCUUUGGGGUGUCCCUCGUGCUGGGCAUCGGCUCCCGCCACCUCCUCCGCGGCACCCGCGUCCCCUACACCGCCGCCCUCCUCGUCCUCGGCGUCGCCCUCGGAGGCCUUGAGUACGGAACGAAGCAUGGCCUGGGCAAGCUCGGAGCUGGCAUUCGUAUCUGGGCUGCCAUAAAUCCUGAUCUUCUUCUGACUGUUCUCCUUCCCGCCCUUCUCUUCGAGAGCUCCUUCUCCAUGGAAGUGCACCAAAUCAAGAAAUGCAUGGCGCAGAUGGUGUUACUUGCUGUUCCUGGUGUGGUGAUCUCAACAGUUUUGCUUGGAACUGCUGUAAAGCUUACUUUUCCAUAUGAUUGGAACUGGGAAACAUCAUUCCUGUUUAGUGGACUGCUUAGUGCAACCGAUCCCGUUGCUGUGGUUGCACUUCUAAAAGACCUAGGAGCAAGUAAAAAGCUCAGUACAAUAAUUGAAGGAGAAUCCUUGAUGAACGAUGGGACUGCUAUUGUUGUCUAUCAGUUAUUCUAUCGAAUGGUGCUUGGAAGAACUUAUGAUGCAGGGUCCAUAAUAAAGUUCUUGUCAGAAGUUCCAUUUGGAGCUGUUGCUCUGGGCCUUGCGUUUGGAAUUGCAUCAGUACUAUGGCGGAGCUUUAUUUUCAAUGAUACAAUCAUAGAGAUUUCACUUACUCUCGCUGCCAGCUAUAUUGCUUUCUUCACUGCGCAAGAUGCAUUGGAGGUCUCUGGUGUUUUGGCUGUCAUGACCUUGGGGAUGUUGUAUGCUGCUUUUGCACAAACUGCUUUUAAGGGUGACAACCAGCAAAGUUUACAUCAUUUCUGGGAGAUGGUUGCUUACAUUGCGAACACACUUAUUUUCAUACUAAGUGGGGUUAUUAUUGCAGAUGGUGUACUACAAGAUAAUAUCCAUUUUGAGAGGCAAGCCAGUGAUGCAGUUCAACCUUAUCUGAACCCAGAAGUUGGAACAAUGUUUGUGUUCUUCACUGGUGGCAUUAUGUUUCUGACAUUGACUUUAAAUGGUUCUACCACACAACUUUUGUUGCACCUACUUGGUCUCAGAAAAUUCACAGCAACUAAGUUUCGUGUAUUGAAGUAUACAAGAUAUGGGAUGCUAAAUAAGGCAUUGGAGGCUUUUGGUGAUCUCAAGGAUGAUGAGGAACUUGGGACAGUUGAUUGGAUUACUGUUAAGAAAUAUAUCACAUGUUUGAAUAACUUGGAAGAUGUACAAGCACAUCCUCAUGAUGUUCCUGACAAAGAUGAUCACACACAUACCAUGAAUUUGUUGGAUACCCGAGUGCGGCUUUUGAAUGGUGUGCAAGCCGCUUACUUUGGAAUGCUUGAAGAGGGACGAAUAACUCAAUCUACAACAAAUAUUUUGAUGAGAUCUGUUGACGAAGCUAAGGAUCUCGUUUCUAGUCAACCAUUAUGCGACUGGAAGGUGUUGCGGUCCAAUGUACAAUUCUCAAAUUACUAUAGGUUCCUUCAAAUGAGCAGGUUGCCACAAAGGCUUAUCACAUACUUCACAGUAGAAAGAUUGGAGCUAGGAUGUUGCACAUGUGCAGCAUUUCUCAAUGCUCAUAGAACUGCAAGGAGGCAACUACAUGAUUUUCUCGGUGAAAGUGAAAUGGCAAGAAUUGUGAUCGAUGAAAGUACUGCUGCAGGGGAGGAAGCAAAAAAGUUUCUAGAAGAUGUUCGUGUUACAUUCCCUCAGGUGCUUGGUGCAUUAAUGACUCGACAAGUAACAUAUGCGGUAUUGACACACUUGAGCAAGUAUAUUCAAGACCUCAGGAAGACUGGGUUGCUCGAGGAAGAGGAAAUGGUACAUCUCGAUGAUGCUUUGCAGACAGACUUGAAGAAGCUUAAAAGGAAUCCACCGAUGGUUAAAAUGCCAAGAGUUAGCGAACUUUUAAGCUCUCAUCCUUUAGUCGGUGCACUGCCUUCUGCUGUUCGUGGUCUAUUGUUAAGUAAUGCAAGGGAAACAAUAAAAGGACAUGGACAAAUCCUUUACAGGGAAGGCUCAAGGCCGACUGGUAUAUGGCUUGUUUCGGCUGGAAUAGUAAAGUGGACAAGUCAGAGACUAAGCAGAAGGCAUUCAUUAGAUCCAAUUUUGCCACAUGGAAGCACUUUGGGUCUAUACGAGGCAUUGACCGGAAAGCCAUAUAUUUGUGACGUUACUACAGAAUCGGUGGUGCACUGUUUCUUCAUUGAAGCUGAAAAAAUCGAGCAAUUGCGCCAGUCUGAUCCUUCUGCUGAGGAUUUUAUGUGGCAGGAAAGCGCUCUAGUUAUUGCGAUGAUUUUUCUCCCUCAGAUAUUUGAGAAAAUGGCAAUGCGUAAGAUGAGGGUUCUCCUUUCUGAAAGAUCUAGUAUGAACAUCUACAUUAAUGGGGAAGAGUUUGAACUCGGGCAUAAUUACAUAGGCAUCUUACUCGAAGGGUUUCUCAAGACAACACACCAACAUCUGAUCACACCUCCAGCUGUGCUGCUGCCAUCAAGCGCUGAUUUAAACUUAUCUGGCCUGCAGUCUUCAGCCAUGAGCCAUAUAGACUACUACUAUACUGCAACCAGUUAUCAGGUGGAAGCUAGAACAAGGGCCAUCCUAAUUGAAAUAGACAUGCCAGAUAUAGAAUCCGAUCUGCAAACAAGUGCAUCGUUGCUGUCUCCGUCUCCGACCCUUGGACCACCACCAACGCAGAGCAAAGAGCAUAUGGAUGACAUGCACUGUGCUCAGCGACGACUGAGCCUCAAUCGCGCGGAAGCGAACCACAAGCACAUCGCAUCCUAUGCCAAGGCACCUUCAAGGAUGGCAUCCAGCACGCAGCCGCGUCUGCUUGUUGCGAGGUCAGAAGGUUCCAAUGCGACGAUGAACACAACAUCUGCUCUUUAUCCGGCACUUGUGCCCUUUCCGCCCCUAGAAGCAGCCCGACAACGCAGGGUGACAGUGGCGGAAGAUGAUAACUCAAGCGAUGAAUCUGCGGGGGAAGAAGUCAUCGUUAAAGUGGACUCUCCCAGCAUGCUCUCCUUCCAUCGGACCACCAGUGUGCCGCCGCGGGGCGACUGA
rnacentral:rRNA from 1 species